ACACGUAGGGGGCGAGCGUUGUUCGGAAUCAUUGGGCGUAAAGGGCGUGCAGGCGGUCCUGCAAGUCCGGCGUGAAAGACCCCGGCCCAACCGGGGGGACGCGCUGGAAACUGCAGGGCUUGAGUACAGGAGGGGAUGCCGGAAUUCCAGGUGUAGGGGUGAAAUCUGUAGAUAUCUGGAAGAACACCAAUGGCGAAGGCAGGCAUCUGGCCAUGUACUGACGCUGAGACGCGAAGGUGCGGGGAGCAAACAGGUUUAGAGUCCCUGGUAGUCCGCACAGUAAACGAUGUGCACCAGGUGGCGGGGGGUCGACCCCCGGUACCGUAGCUAACGCAUUAAGUGCACCGCCUGGGGAGUAUGCUCGCAAGGGUGAAACUCAAAGGAAUUGACGGGG
rnacentral:rRNA from 1 species